rnacentral:rRNA from 1 species
ACUCCUACGGGAGGCAGCAUUGGGGAAUCUUGGACAAUGGGCGCAAGCCUGAUCCAGCCAUGCCGCGUGAGUGAUGAAGGCCCUAGGGUCGUAAAGCUCUUUCGCCAGGGAUGAUAAUGACAGUACCUGGUAAACGAAACCCCGGCUAACUCCGUGCCAGCAGCCGCGGUAAUACGGAGGGGUUAGCGUUGUUCGGAAUUACUGGGCGUAAAGCGCGCGUAGGCGGAUUAGUCAGUUAGAGGUGAAAUCCCAGGGCUCAACCCUGGAACUGCCUUUAAUACUGCUAGUCUUGAGUUCGAGAGAGGUGAGUGGAAUUCCGAGUGUAGAGGUGAAAUUCGUAGAUAUUCGGAGGAACACCAGUGGCGAAGGCGGCUCACUGGCUCGAUACUGACGCUGAGGUGCGAAAGUGUGGGGAGCAAACAGGAUUAGAUACCCGUGGUAGCGACUGA